UGGGGAAUAUUGGACAAUGGGGGCAACCCUGAUCCAGCAAUGCCGCGUGUGUGCAGAAGGCCUUCGGGUUGUAAAGCACUUUUAUCAGGAGCGAAAUACUACGGGUUAAUAACCUGUGGGGCUGACGGUACCUGAGGAAUAAGCACAGGCUAACUUCGUGCAAGCAGCCGCGGUAAUACGAAGGGUGCAAGCGUUAAUCGGAAUUACUGGGCGUAAAGCGUGCGUAGGCGGUUUGUUAAGUCUGCUGUGAAAUCCCCGGGCUCAACCUGGGAAUGGCAGUGGAUACUGGCAAGCUAGAGUGUGUCAGAGGGUGGUGGAAUUCCCGGUGUAGCGGUGAAAUGCGUAGAGAUCGGGAGGAACAUCAGUGGCGAAGGCGGCCACCUGGGACAACACUGACGCUGAGGCACGAAAGCGUGGGGAGCAAAC
rnacentral:rRNA from 1 species